rnacentral:rRNA from 1 species
CCUACUGGAUGCAGCAGUGGGGAAUAUUGGGCAAUGGGCGCAAGCCUGACCCCGCAACGCCGCGUGAAGGAAGAAGGCUUUCGGGUUGUAAACUUCUUUUCUGAGGGACGAAGGAAGUGACGGUACCUCAGGAAUAAGACACGGCUAACUACAUGCCAGCAGCCGCGUUAAUACGUAGGUGGCAAGCGUUCUCCGGAUUUAUUGGGUGUAAAGGGCGGGUAGGCGGGAAGGCAAGUCAGAUGUGAAAACUCAGUGCUCAACCCUGAGCCUGCAUUUGAAACUGUUUUUCUUGAGUGCUGGAGAGGCAAUCGGAAUUCCGUGUGUAGCGGUGAAAUGCGUAGAUAUAAGGAGGAACACCAGUGGCGAAGGCGGAUUGCUGGACAGUAACUGACGCUGAGGCGCGAAAGCGUGGGGAGCAAACAGGAUUAGAUACCCUAGUAGUC